rnacentral:lncRNA from 1 species
AAUGUCAUUUUUAUCGUUACAUUUUUUUUCACAACAUGAUUACAUUUUGGACUUGAAUUGUAAGGAUUUUCAGAAGGAGGGGUUAAUGGUAAUUUACAGAUCUUAAUUGAGAAUAAUUUAUAGAGAAAGGGGUUGUUUUGUAAAUGUUGGACUUGUAAUGAAAAGGAUUAUUGAAAUCAAAGGUGUAAAGGGUAAAUUAGGGUUUUGUUUUGAAAGAAAAGAAAGAGAGGGAUUACAUGUGUUAAUAUGGGAACUAGUUUAAGGAUCCGGGUAUAACCGUUUCCUUCCCGUCCACACCCUAAUUAACCCUAAACCUAAUGAGGCAUUCAGCCGCCACCAUUGCUCUCUCAACUUCGGGUGCCGCUACCUUCCUCCACCGAGUCGCGCAUCACCACAGUUGGAGCCCCAAACCACCGGAGCAACCACCUCGUGUCCAUCCUAGCACCGGGGAAUGAAGUUGGGUGCGUGUUGUCGUCGUUCGCUUGGAAGACCGCCAUUCAAGCAUUCAUUCGCAACCUGGCGACCAUCCAGCCGUCUGCCGGGGACAAGAAACUAUCGUGGGUCGUAAACCACCGAGGCUGCUGCCCCUGUUGCGCUGGAACGGUGGGAAAUGCAUUCGCUGCCGCCGCCAUCCGUUCGUUGGCGACUAAUGGCCAACCCUAGUCGUCGCAGAUGUUAUCGCCUCUAGACGCCUCAGUUGCUGCUAGUAUUGUUUCGCAGUUGCAUUCGCUGCCCCAACACCACCAUCAACAACACCUGCGGGUAUGUAUUGUGAUUUCAAUUUGCUCAAACUUUUCCAAAUCUUCAAUUUUUCAGCGUAUUAUUAACUUGAUUUAAGGAAUGAAUUAUUGACUUUUAAUUUGAGUUUUUAAAAGAUAACAUACAACAACAUACAGUUACAGGGAAACACACAAACACACAAAUUGGAUUAUUUAGAAGCUAAUGUGUAUUUCACUAGCCAUAGAAUUAUAUUAACACAAAAAAAUUUAUAGACAAAAAAGACCGAAUUGCCCCUGUCCCAAAUUCACAUUUCACAGUUUUAUUUGACACAAUAGCUUUCAUAGUUUUAUUUGACACCAACCUCCAAAAAUGUAGAUAAAUUCAGCAACUGUCAAACCUUUGACAAUUCUACCUCCAAAAAUAUAUGAUAUUUUCAUUAUUAUUUCAAUUUAUUGUUGUUUUAUUAGUUUUAAGAGUUUAAGUAUUUAGGAAAUAUUGAAAAUAAAAAUGAAUAAAGUUUUCAGCUAUUAGUUAUUUAAUAUUUAUUUGUUAAUUUAGGAAAUAUUGAAAAUGAAUAAAGAUUUCAAAGUGAAUUAGUUAUUUUAUACCAUUUAUUUGUUAACAAAAUCUGAACCAAAACAACUAUGGAGUGCAUAUGUUUACGGUACUAAUUGUGAAAAUUAUUAUUAAUAUUAAUAGCUAAUGAAAAAGUGGCAUAGUUAAUUUAAAUUUAUGUAUAUGUUUUAAUGUAAUUAUAAAAACAAUCCAUUUUUUCAUAUUUUUUACAUGAUUGUUAAUAAAAAUAUUUAUAUAAUUCGAUCCAUAUAUUUUCCAAACAGAUACGAAAGAAUUUUUUUAACUUAAAAAAUAUUCGAUGCCAUAAAAUUGAUUUGUCAUAUUUACUUAACCAUAUAUUAAAAUGUCAUUAUAUGUAUUUUCCUUUACCACUCAUUAAUUAGGAAUUUAUAUUAGUAUGUUAAUUUUUUAUAACAUUUUUAUUUGUUAAUUGUAAAACAUAUUUUUUUUCUUAUAACAUCUUUUAUUUUUUUCUUAAUUUGAAUCAAUUUUUAUAAAGUUAAUUGGAUAAAUAUCUAAAUUAAUAACUGCUUCAAAAAAAGGCAUUAAUGAUUAUGAUUUUGAACUAUCAAUAUUCAUUUAAUUUGUCUCAUUUGUGAUAUGUUAUUAAGCAUAUUAAAAGUUAUUAUUAUGAAUAUUAAAAACAAUGUACAUUGUUAUUAUCAAUAGUAUGUUUUUAUAUUGAAUUAAAAGUAAAGUACAUUGCUAUCAUGGUUUAAAGUUGAAUUAUAGUUACUAACCGCAUGUGUUUGUCUUGCUAUAUUUAGGUAAAUGAGUUGCGACAAUAAAUGUCAAACAUGGAACAAGCCAUGGAAGAAAAGCAAAGGGAAAUGAAUUUGCCAAUGCAACAAAUACGAAAUGAAAUGGAAUUGCAAGUGCAACGACAAUUAGCGGUCUUUAUGAAACAAAUCAAUCCGUCCGGGAAUCCACCAAGUAGUUCUUAGUUUUUGUUUUAGAACACUAAAUUUAUGUUAUGUUAUUGACUAGUUCUUAGUUUUUGUAAUGGUAUUUUGAGUAUUUGAAUUUAUGAAUGUCAUGUUAGUGACUAUUUUAAUGGUAAUGAAUGUAACGGUAUUUGACUAUUAUUUUAAUUAUUUAUUUGGUUUUUUUAGCGGAAAA